AAUUUGUCAUGGUAUAAUCUAACUGCUUCUUUCCCAUUUUAUGCUUUAUAUUCUAGGCAGAGCCCUCCUUCACCUUCAGGAAGUGAGGAGAUGGCUGCUCCCUGCCAAGAAAGUGCAGCCAGGUUUCUGGCACACACUGAGCAGGCAGAGAGCUGGUGACUGAGGUUGGCAAGGGUGAGGCUUCUUCAAGUGCAGCGCGGCGCCUCCAGUCAGCCAUGGCUCGAGAAAGCCACAGAAGGGGAGAGGGGGCAGCAGCUGAAAUGUUUGCAAGCUUACAGGAAAGCAGAAUAAUAUGCAAAACCAAGAUGAAACAUGUUUCAGGUCUACAUUGCAACUCAAACAGAAAUGACAUGUGACACAGUUUAACAAAGAUCUGCUUAGCUGAAAAAUCCAAUUAAAACCAAUUGUCCUUCGGCUGUGCCUGGCACGCUGCCAUUCCAGCAGUCCAGUGCCGUGAGAAUAAAGUGGAAGAAGAGAAAACGAAACGUGCGGUG
rnacentral:lncRNA from 1 species